GACGAACGCUGGCGGCGUGCCUAAUACAUGCAAGUAGAACGCUGAAGGAGGAGCUUGCUUCUCUGGAUGAGUUGCGAACGGGUGAGUAACGCGUAGGUAACCUGCCUGGUAGCGGGGGAUAACUAUUGGAAACGAUAGCUAAUACCGCAUAAUAGUAGAUGUUGCAUGACAUUUGCUUAAAAGGUGCAAUUUCAUCACUACCAGAUGGACCUGCGUUGUAUUAGCUAGUUGGUGGGGUAACGGCUCACCAAGGCGACGAUACAUAGCCGACCUGAGAGGGUGAACCGCCACACUUGGACUGAGACACGGCCCAGACCCCUACGGGGGGCAGCAAGAGGGAAUCUUCGGAAAUAGACGGAAGGCUGACCGAGCAACGCCGCGGGAGGGAAGAAGGUUUUCGGAUCGUAAAGCUCUGUUGUAAGAGAAGAACGAGCGUGAGAGUAGAAAGUUCACGCUGUGACGGUAUCUUACCAGAAAGGGACGGCUAACUACGUG
rnacentral:rRNA from 1 species